UUGUUUGGAGAGUUUGAUUCUGGCUCAGGACGAACGCUGGCGGCGUGCUUAACACAUGCAAGUCGAACGGUAAGGCCCUUCGGGGUACACGAGUGGCGAACGGGUGAGUAACACGUGGGUAAUCUGCCCUGCACAUCGGGAUAAGCCUGGGAAACUGGGUCUAAUACCGGAUAGGACCACAGAACACAUGUCCUGUGGUGGAAAGCUUUUGCGGUGUGGGAUGGGCCCGCGGCCUAUCAGCUUGUUGGUGGGGUGAUGGCCUACCAAGGCGACGACGGGUAGCCGGCCUGAGAGGGUGUCCGGCCACACUGGGACUGAGAUACGGCCCAGACUCCUACGGGAGGCAGCAGUGGGGAAUAUUGCACAAUGGGCGAAAGCCUGAUGCAGCGACGCCGCGUGGGGGAUGACGGCCUUCGGGUUGUAAACCUCUUUCACCAUCGACGAAGGUUCGGGUUUUCUCGGAUUGACGGUAGGUGGAGAAGAAGCACCGGCCAACUACGUGCCAGCAGCCGCGGUAAUACGUAGGGUGCGAGCGUUGUCCGGAAUUACUGGGCGUAAAGAGCUCGUAGGUGGUUUGUCGCGUUGUUCGUGAAAUCUCACGGCUUAACUGUGAGCGUGCGGGCGAUACGGGCAGACUUGAGUACUGCAGGGGAGACUGGAAUUCCUGGUGUAGCGGUGGAAUGCGCAGAUAUCAGGAGGAACACCGGUGGCGAAGGCGGGUCUCUGGGCAGUAACUGACGCUGAGGAGCGAAAGCGUGGGGAGCGAACAGGAUUAGAUACCCUGGUAGUCCACGCCGUAAACGGUGGGUACUAGGUGUGGGUUUCCUUCCUUGGGAUCCGUGCCGUAGCUAACGCAUUAAGUACCCCGCCUGGGGAGUACGGCCGCAAGGCUAAAACUCAAAGAAAUUGACGGGGGCCCGCACAAGCGGCGGAGCAUGUGGAUUAAUUCGAUGCAACGCGAAGAACCUUACCUGGGUUUGACAUGCACAGGACGCCGGCAGAGAUGUCGGUUCCCUUGUGGCCUGUGUGCAGGUGGUGCAUGGCUGUCGUCAGCUCGUGUCGUGAGAUGUUGGGUUAAGUCCCGCAACGAGCGCAACCCUUGUCUCAUGUUGCCAGCGGGUAAUGCCGGGGACUCGUGAGAGACUGCCGGGGUCAACUCGGAGGAAGGUGGGGAUGACGUCAAGUCAUCAUGCCCCUUAUGUCCAGGGCUUCACACAUGCUACAAUGGCCGGUACAAAGGGCUGCGAUGCCGCGAGGUUAAGCGAAUCCUUUUAAAGCCGGUCUCAGUUCGGAUCGGGGUCUGCAACUCGACCCCGUGAAGUCGGAGUCGCUAGUAAUCGCAGAUCAGCAACGCUGCGGUGAAUACGUUCCCGGGCCUUGUACACACCGCCCGUCACGUCAUGAAAGUCGGUAACACCCGAAGCCAGUGGCCUAACCCUUUGGGAGGGAGCUGUCGAAGGUGGGAUCGGCGAUUGGGACGAAGUCGUAACAAGGUAGCCGUACCGGAAGGUGCGGCUGGAUCACCUCCUUUCUAAGGAG
rnacentral:rRNA from 1 species